rnacentral:rRNA from 1 species
AUUGAACGCUGGCGGCAGGCCUAACACAUGCAAGUCGAGCGGAGCUGCGGACGGGUGAGUAAUGCCUAGGAAUCUACCUGGUCGUGGGGGAUAGCGUCCGGUCACGAGCGCUAAUACCGCAUCCUCUCAGAUGAGCCUAGGUCGGAUUAGCUAGUUGGUGGGGUAAAGGCCUACCAAGGCGACGAUCCGUAACUGGUCUGAGAGGAUGAUCAGUCACACUGGAACUGAGACACGGUCCAGACUCCUACGGGAGGCAGCAGUGGGGAAUAUUGGACAAUGGGCGAAAGCCUGAUCCAGCCAUGCCGCGUGUGUGAAGAAGGUCUUCGGAUUGUAAAGCACUGUAAGUUGGGAGGCGUUACCAACAGAAUAAGCACCGGCUAACUUCGUGCCAGCCGCCGCGGUAAUUC